rnacentral:lncRNA from 1 species
CCGUUGUUUCCGUUGUUUCCGUUGUGGUUCUUGACCUGUCACCUAAUUUUCUGCCUUAUGUUUUUGUCUCUGUGGAGGUUUUUUCCGUUGUUUCCGUUGUUUUCGUUGUUUCCAUUCUUUCCGUUGUUGUUCUUGACCUGUCACCUAAUUUUCUGCCUUAUGUUUCUGUCUCUGUGCAGGUUGUUUCGGUUGUUUCCGUUGUUGUGCUUGACCUGUUACCUAAUUUUCUGCCUUAUGUUUCUGUCUCUGUGGAGGUUGUUUCGGUUGUUUUGGUUGUUUCAGUUGUUUCCGUUGUUGUUCUUGACAUGUCACCUAAUUUUCUGCCGUAUGUUUCUGUCUCUCUGGCGGAUGUUUCCGUUAGUGUUUCCGUUAGUGUUUCCGUUAGUGUUUCCGUUGUUGUUCUUGACCUGUCACCUAAUUAUCUGCCUUAUGUUUCUGUCUCUGUGGAGGUUGUUAUGGUUGUUUCGGUUGUUUCGGUUGUUUCCGUUGUUUCCUGUUUCCGUUGUUGUUCUUGACCUGUCACCUAAUUAUCUGCCUUAUGUUUCUGUCUCUGUGGAGGUUGUUAUGGUUGUUUCGGUUGUUUCGGUUGUUUCCAUUGUUUCCGUCUUCCGUUGUUCUUCUUGACCUGUCACCUAAUUUUCUGCCUUAUGUUUCUGUCUCUGUGGAGGUUGUGUUGUUUCCGUUGUUUCCGUUGUUUCCGUUGUUUCCGUUGUUUCCGUUGUUUCCGUUGUUUCCGUUGUUGUUCUUGACCUGUCACCUAAUUUUGUGCCGUAUGUUUCUGUCUCUGUGGAGUUUAUUUCCGUUAUUUCCAUUAUUUCAGUUAUUAUUUCCAUUUUUAUUUCUGUUAUUUCCAUUUUUAUUUCUGUUUAUUUCCGUUCUUUCCUUGUUUAUUUCCGUUCUUUCCGUGUUUAUUUCCGUUGUUGUUUUUGACCUGUCAUCUAAUUUUUGUCCUUAUGUUUCUAUCUCUGUGAAGGUUAUUUUCGUUAUUUCCGUUAUUAUUUUUGUUAUUUCAGUUUUUUCUGUUAUUUCCGUUGUUGUUCUUGACCUGUCACCUAAUUUUCUGCCUUAUGUUUCUGUCUCUGUGGAGGUUGUUUCGGUUGUUUUGGUUGUUUCAGUUGUUUCCG